UUUACGAUAGUUUAUAAUUAAAACAUUCCUCCUUCAAUGGAAAAAAGAAAGAAGGUCUCGUAGAA
rnacentral:tRNA from 1 species